AAUAUUAAUAUAGAUAUGCCAUAGACAGCAGGUUGCUUUCUUUUGAGGAAAGUGUAAAAGUAUUUAUAAACCACCCUGCCGAGGUAAGUAUAAAUGAACGGUUGAUUAAAGCCAAUUACCCCUUUAUGUCUAUGUGCAUUAAGGGGUUUUGUUAUUUGGGU
rfam:[Clostridium] straminisolvens JCM 21531 DNA, contig: contig00006.